rnacentral:rRNA from 1 species
GACGAACGCUGGCGGCGUGCCUAAUACAUGCAAGUAGAACGCUGAAGAGAGGAGCUUGCUCUUCUUGGAUGAGUUGCGAACGGGUGAGUAACGCGUAGGUAACCUGCCUGGUAGCGGGGGAUAACUAUUGGAAACGAUAGCUAAUACCGCAUAAAAUGGAUUAUCGCAUGAUAAUCCAUUGAAAGGUGCAAAUGCAUCACUACCAGAUGGACCUGCGUUGUAUUAGCUAGUUGGUGGGGUAACGGCUCACCAAGGCGACGAUACAUAGCCGACCUGAGAGGGUGAUCGGCCACACUGGGACUGAGACACGGCCCAGACGCCUACGGGAGGCAGCAGUAGGGAAUCUUCGGCAAGGGACGGAAGGCUGACCGAGCAACGCCGCGUGAGUGAAGAAGGUUUUCGGAUCGUAAAGCUCGGUUGUAAGAGAAGAACGAGUGUGAGAGUGGAAAGUUCACAAUGUGACGGUAUCUUACCAGAAAGAGACGGCUAACUACGUG